CCGAGGGGAGGGUCCCUGGCUCGGGCGAGCCUGGGGUCCUGGGCUGUUGUUUACCUCAUUUAAGCUUCUAUUUUCAUUGCAUGUGACAUAUGGUUUACUUUUCUGAAUCGUCUGUUAGACUUUAUAGCAUCUGCAAUUUAAUUUUCUGAUGCUUUUACAACUUCUACUACCGCAUCAAUUCCCCCCGCCCCCUUUUGUUUGCUCACUACUGUGUUUUUGUGCCUCUAAUUUGUUUCCUCUCUAAGUUGAUGUAGCUGGCCGACUAAAAUUCAGUCAACUGUCGGGGAGGUGUUUUUUUGUUUUGUUACACUGCAUUAGCAUAAGGAGAUUCCAUCUUGCAAGAUGUUGUUUGCACAAUUGUGGCUCAGAAACAGUUGACCACUUGAUAAUUCAUUUCUCAAUUGCUACAGAUCUGUGGUCUAUAUUUUUUUUGAAAGUGCCAUACACUAACCACGUUAAUCACUAAACAGCCCAAAAAUUUCUGAGUAUUAACCUUCUAUGCUCUGGGAGUACUCACUAAACAACCACUUAAAAUUUCCAAGAUCAAAUUUUAAGACCUGUGAUUAAAUUCAACCUUGCUCAGCCAUGAGUUCGUUGCAUGGGGUUUGUCCAAGGUGGUUCACAUCUCCUGUGUGGUAUCUAAAUAUAGCAAAGGUUCCCUUGGGAUUUCCCAAAAAUAAAAAGUAAAAAACAAGAAGCGGCCAAAAUAUCUCCCAACACCGCCCAGAAAAGACACAACCAAAAGGGGAUCGUAAUUUAUUUGGGCUAGGCAAUCCCUAAUGGAUGAGAAGCCCCUGUUAAAAGAUUAUACCUGAAGAGAAGAUGGUUGGGGUGAAGCCAUCAAAGAAGAUAAUUGAAGAGAAGGCAAUUGUGAAGUCGUCAACUAAUAUAAUUGUAGAGAACAGAUUAGUGAAGCCGUCAAAGAAUAUAAUUGAUCUGACGCAACUCGUAGCACUUAUGGAUUGUCGUAUGACCUGAUUAAUGAUGACUAAAAGAUUGUUAAGAUUGACAAAGGGUUGUUCCACACACCACUCAAUAAAAUCUUUGCACUAAAGAGUGGUGGUUGGAGAAGUAUUGACAACCAUGUUCGUGGCUUUGACAGUAGUGUUUAUGAUGAAGACUCUUCGGUGUUUGUUCGUGGUGCGUACUUACCAAUGGCCGGUGGGCGGCACUUUCAAGUUAUGGAUAAUGAAAGACUAGGGUGUCAAGGAAUCUUGAACUGAGCCCGAAAAAUUGGAAUGUAGAUGGUGAAGUGUUAUUCUACUUCAUCAGUGUGUAUAAACAUCAGGGUUUUAGGACAUCCAAUCCCCAAAAUUACUUAAUUAGUAUUAGCUUAUGUGUGAUCAAGUCACCCUUUUUUUCUGGAUGUCAUGCUACAACCUUUUAUUCUUAUUAAUGUUACUGGUUUUGCUUUUUUCGAAAUGCCUUUGCCAAUAUUAAUGUUAUUUAGUCUUAUUUUAAGU